rnacentral:rRNA from 1 species
GAAAAGAAACCAACAGGGAUUGCCCUAGUAACGGCGAGUGAAGCGGCAACAGCUCAAAUUUGAAAGCUGGCUCCGGCCCGCAUUGUAAUUUGCAGAGGAUGCUUUUGGCGAGGUGCCUUCCGAGUUCCCUGGAACGGGACGCCAUAGAGGGUGAGAGCCCCGUAUGGAUGGACACCAGACCUGUGUAAAGCUCCUUCAACGAGUCGAGUAGUUUGGGAAUGCUGCUCUAAAUGGGAGGUAAAUCUCUUCUAAAGCUAAAUACCGGCCAGAGACCGAUAGCGCACAAGUAGAGUGAUCGAAAGAUGAAAAGCACCUUGAAAAGGGGGUUAAACAGUACGUGAAAUUGUUGAAAGGGAAGCAUUUAUGACCAGACUUGCGCCGGGCAGCUCAUCAGGGGUUCUCCCCUGUGCACUCUGCCCGGCUCAGGCCAGCAUCGGUUCUCGUGGGAGGAUAAGAACAGUGGGAACGUGGCCCCCCUCCGGGGGGGUGUUAUAGCCCAUUGUACGAUACUCUCGUGGGGACCGAGGUUCGCGCUCCGCAAGGAUGCUGGCGUAAUGGUCAUCAAUGACCCGUCUUGAAACACGGACCAAGGAGUCGUCCAUUAGAGCGAGCGUUUGGGUGUAAAACCCGCACGCGUAAUGAAAGUGAACGCAGGUGAGAGCUUCGGCGCAUCAUCGACCGAUCCUGAUGUCUUCGGAUGGAUUUGAGUAAGAGUUUUAACGGACGGACCCGAAAGACAGUGAACUAUGCUUGUAUAGGGUGAAGCCAGAGGAAACUCUGGUGGAGGCUCGCAGCGGUUCUGACGUGCAAAUCGAUCGUCAAAUAUGAGCAUGGGGGCGAAAGACUAAUCGAACUGUCUAGUAGCUGGUUACCGCCGAAGUUUCCCUCAGGAUAGCAGUGUUGUUCUUCAGUUUUAUGAGGUAAAGCGAAUGAUUAGGGACUCGGGGGCGCUUAUUAGCCUUCAUCCAUUCUCAAACUUUAAAUAUGUAAGAAGCCCUUGUUACUUAAUUGAACGUGGGCAUUCGAAUGUACCAACACUAGUGGGCCAUUUUUGGUAAGCAGAACUGGCGAUGCGGGAUGAACCGAACGCGGGGUUAAGGCGCCAGAGUGUACGCUCAUCAGACACCACAAAAGGCGUUAGUACAUCUUGACAGCAGGACGGUGGCCAUGGAAGUCGGAAUCCGCUAAGGACUGUGUAACAACUCACCUGCCGAAUGUACUAGCCCUGAAAAUGGAUGGCGCUCAAGCGUACCGCCCAUACCCCGCCCUCAGGGUAGAAACGAUGCCCUGAGGAGUAGGCGGCCGUGGGGGUCAGUGACGAAGCCUAGGGCGUGAGCCCGGGUCGAACGGCCC